CCUGAAUUCCAACACAAUUUAGGAGAGAUCGAUCAGUGACCGAGACAUUUUUUUUUUUUUUUUUGUUAAGGAAUUUUCUAUUAUUAAAGUGCUGAUUGUUUUCCGAGUAUUCCAAUGGUGUUCGAGCCUUUCCGGGAUUGGCCAGAUUCUAAUUCUGUUAUUCCUUUCUUACCGAACGGCCGAGGAAGAUGUACGAAGCGGUUGAUAAGUACGAGUCCUGUGUAACCGGCGCUCAAGUGCAAUUGUAAAUCCACGGUACAAAGAUAUUCGCACUACGUAACAAAUGACGAUUUUACAUUUUUGUGAAUUGACAAAAAGGUAUUCGUGAGAUGCUGUUUCAAUUCCGCUUCUUAUUUAAAUCUAUUUCUAGUAACUUUGCGAAUCGAGUACACCUACGAAAGAGCAUCGGCUGUAAACCGAAUAUCUGAACAUUUAGUUUUGAAGAACAGAGGAACGUAUCCUACAAAGGGACAAGGGGACAAGUAUUGUCAAGGUUCACAAUUCACAUCACAAUUCGAGUAUUACAGAUGGUCUGCAAACUUGUACCAUACUGUACUUGUACUGUAUAUGUCGAAGAACUUGCAUACGUCGCAGGGCAGAUUCAAUGUUGCGAAUGGAUUUCAACGUUGAACGCGCAGGUACUGACAUGACCGAUCCGCAAAACGUCAACCACUUAAGAACGUUGGGUAAGAAGACUUUUGGAAGAGUUGAGCAACGACGAAACAUCUAUCUCUUAAGAGGCCAGACAUAACGAACUCCGGUCGUGUUUCACAUACAAUCCGUAACAAUCUGACCCAGAAAAAUCUAACAGCCUUACCUGCCCUAUUUUUAGAUCUAAAACGCCGAAAUCUUCGCGUCUAAUCUCGCAGUUACACUUGAAGUAAAAGUAAAGCGAUAUACGCUGUGAAUCACGCCGGAUCAAAAAUUAAUUGACAGGCGUUUCGUUUUAGAAGAGCGAGAGGAACGUGAAUGAUUUUCAACUUCGCCGUCGACCUUGCAACGAAUUAUGUUUCACCUUGUCCUCGUUUUUUUUUUUUUUUUUUUAUUUUUUUUUUUUUUCCUCAUGGAAGAAUCUACCCGGUGCCCGAGAAGAAAAUAGCGGAAAAUUUCAUGCAACGUUGAUGGAAGCGGAAACCGCAUUGCGUUCCAUCCGAUCAAUCAGAUGGAUAUCGAUUUGUUUCGCUUCUCCGUGUGGAAUAAAUUACAAUGGAGAGAAGGAAACUUCGCCGUUGAUACUCCAGCUGUCAAAUUCCACGAAGAAGAACGGGAAUACAAAACGAAGAAAUGCCAGAGGUUACUGGGUCAUGCUAAAAAAAAAAGGCAGGCCGACCUUGAGCCGGCGAAACAAAAAAAGUAGCUACCCGCGCGCUGCUUGAUACUUGGAACGCGUGUUAUCGUUUUAAUCGUUUUAAUUACUACACGUUGAUUAGGUCAACUCAAUGAAAGAUCAACGACUUAGAGAAACUUAGCAAAUAAUUUGUUAACGUAUACCAAAGCAGUCUGAAUUUUUAUGUUUUUCCAUUUCUGUCUUUUUUUUUUGUCACCUUAUAUCGCACGACAGAUUCCAGUUACGCUUAAUUCCUUCCCUUAAAGAUUAAAUCUUUUCAAAGAAAAUAAAAAAAAAUUGAAGCGUAAAUUUCGAGCAGAGAAUACGGACGAAAUGUGAAAUUAUGUGUUAAGAUGUACAUCACAUAGAUAAAUAACCAAUGAAGUUAAUCAACAAACGCUGAUUCUAAAUUCGUAAGCUCGUAAAUAUAUUUUUUAUCAAGUGAGAGAAUGAUAGAUAUUUGUUAGUCAAUAGGCAAGAUGUAAUCAGUGAUAAAAUCGCGUGUCUUAUCUCGAAACGAAAUGCAAAAGAAGAUUGAAAUUAGGAAACUGCAUUACCAACCCAAUGAUGGCGUAAAAAUCGCGCGCCCAACGUCCAAGAAAAUCCACCUCUCUGCCAAAUACCUAGCGUCAAGAAAGCAACUACCAUUUUUCCCUUUGGUUUUGGCAGCCAUCCGAGUUUUCACCGGAAUACACAUCAGACGCGCAAAACCAAUAUGAGGAACAUCUUGAAUUUCAUCGAAGAUCGUGUAACGAGUAAGAUUAUUCGCUUUUCCUUUAAAUGCCCCGAUCAAUUCAUUUAGCAGAAUAUCGUUGAAUUUCAUUUCGAAGUUUUAUUACACGUGAUAACAAGAUGACCAAGCUUAAUAAUUUGCAAGUUUCUUUUCUCCGAUUUGCAGAAGGUCAAACGCCACGAGAAAAAAUACAUUGCGUGCGUGGAGAGGAGCAUCUCGCGGAGAAAUUAUGAUGAAGAUCAUUACAAGUCAUCUCUUAUGUGUUUCACAGAGUCAAUAAUAUGGUUACGUAAUCGCAUAGAGAGUACAAUUGGAAAUUAUGUAACUAAUCCUAUGAUGUGAACCCGCCAGUAAAUGCCUGAACCAUGCGAUUUCAUUAAUUAAUGUUCAACGUCCCUUCGAGUGUCUCCUGCAAUUUUUUUUUAAAUUCUGGAAACGAUCAGAGAAUCGAUGGAAAAUAAUUUUUUUUUUAACUGAAUAAUUAUUUAUCAACGUAUUAUCUGAAUAGUCGUUAAAAGGAAAUUAAUAAUAUUUUAGAUUUUAUUCGCGAACGGCGGACCGUUAUUCGAUCAAUGGAUCGCAUUUAUUACAUCACGAGAAUCAGUACACGUGGAUCAGUGGCACAGCAGAUUAUACGUUUACGCAACGAAAAUGAGGUGAAACGUGUAUCCCAUUUUUAGCAUUUCAAAAUGCCGUCUAUAAUGGUAAUAUCUUGAAUAAUGGUCAAGGCAGAGAAUUACAAAUGGAAGAGGAUAUAACCAAAGUAGUAAAAGCAAAAGAACAGGUGUGCACAGCAGGAAUCGAACUAUUCGAUUCUUACGAGCUCCACGUCGCAAAUACACGUAAGUAAAAGGUAUGUAACGAGUACGCUCGCACGUGAUGAUGCCUCUGGUUUGCGUACAACUGCACUUGUAACGCGAUUAAUAGAGAUCGAUCGAAUUUACUUAUGGUCUUUAACUACGACUGGUUUCGUUGUAUACGUGCGUAUGUAACAUGUUGCGUUACAUAAGAUAACGGCAACUUAGUCAGAAGACACGCACACUUGGUCCCCUUAAAUUUCAAAGCAAUAUAUUCUUUCGGCAUCGAAUUUUCUAUCAGUCGGACUUGAGACGCACCUCGUCUAGAAAUAAAGUGAAGAAUACAUUUGUUCUACUCGUAGGAAAUCAUAGACUAUUAAUACCUUGCGUUCUCUUUGGUAUUGAUAAAGUUAAUAAUUCUGUGAGCUAAAUAUUUACAUUUCUUUCAAUUGCUUCUACAAUUCAAUGCGUUAUAAAAACUCAAAACUACUUUAUUACAAAAAAUUGAUAUGUAUGUACUGAUAUUUU